rnacentral:rRNA from 1 species
AGAAUCAACGCUGGCGGCGUGCUUAACACAUGCAAGUCGAGCGGAAAGGCCCUUCGGGUACUCGAGCGGCGAACGGGUGAGUAACACGUGAGCAACCUGCCCCUAGCUCCGGGAUAGCUCCGGGAAACCGGAAUUAAUACCGGAUACGACCACGGCCGACAUCUGCUGUGGUGGAAAGGAUUCCGGCUAAGGAUGGGCUCGCGGCCUAUCAGCUAGUUGGUGGAGUAACGGCCCACCAAGGCGACGACGGGUA